AGCGCAACCCCUGCAUUCAGUGCCAUCGGGUAAUGCCGGGCACUCUGGAAGGACUGCCAUCGACAAGAUGGAGGAAGGUGGGGAUGACGUCAAGUCAUCAUGGCCCUUAUGUCCAGGGCGACACACGUGCUACAAUGGCCGGCACAACGGGAAGCGAGUUCGCGAGGACAAGCGGAUCCCUUAAAGCCGGUCGCAGUUCGGAUUGAAGUCUGCAACUCGACUUCAUGAAGCUGGAAUCGCUAGUAAUCGUGGAUCAGCCAAGCCGCGGUGAAUACGUUCCCGGGCCUU
rnacentral:rRNA from 1 species